CAGCAGCCACGGUAAUACGUAGGGUCCGAGCGUUGUCCGGAAUUAUUGGGCGUAAAGGGCUCGUAGGCGGUUUGUUGCGUCGGGAGUGAAAACCCAGGGCUUAACUUUGGGCUUGCUUUCGAUACGGGCAGACUUGAGGCAUUGAGGGGAGAACGGAAUUCCUGGUGUAGCGGUGAAAUGCGCAGAUAUCAGGAGGAACACCAGUGGCGAAGGCGACUGACUGGACAAGUAUUGACGCUGAGGUGCGAAAGCGUGGGGAGCAAACAGGAUUAGAUACCCCUGUAGUCCCUGUCUCUUAUAC
rnacentral:rRNA from 1 species